UGGCCAAAAAAGCAGUGUGAGGUCACUUGGCUCAAGCCAAGUGAGGGCGUUUUUCCAGCUUGCUGGCACCCCUGAUUAUUCAGGAAGGUGAUCCCCAUUAGUUCAACUUUUAGCCACCCCGCCGCGCUGCUUUUUUGCC
rnacentral:ncRNA from 1 species